GACGAACGCUGGCGGCGUGCUUAACACAUGCAAGUCGAACGGAAAGGCCCUGCUUUUGUGGGGUGCUCGAGUGGCGAACGGGUGAGUAACACGUGAGUAACCUGCCCUUGACUUUGGGAUAACUUCAGGAAACUGGGGCUAAUACCGGAUAGGAGCUCCUGCUGCAUGGUGGGGGUUGGAAAGUUUCGGCGGUUGGGGAUGGACUCGCGGCUUAUCAGCUUGUUGGUGGGGUAGUGGCUUACCAAGGCUGUGACGGGUAGCCGGCCUGAGAGGGUGACCGGCCACAUGGGGACUGAGAUACGGCCCAGACUCCUACGUGGGGCAGCAGUGGGGAAUAUUGCCCAAUGGGCGCAAGCCUGAGACAGCAACGUCGCGUGCGGGAUGACGGCCUUUGGGGUGUAAACCGCUUUCGCCUGUGACGAAGCGGGAGUGACGGUAAUGGGUAAAGAAGCACCGGCUAACUACGUG
rnacentral:rRNA from 1 species